CGGUCAUGUGAUCCUACCAUGUGACCGCUCCACUGCGGAUUACAUUCGUGAGCGGCAAAUUCAAACAUGGGAAAGUGGUAAUGGGUUCUAGUGGCGGCUGCGGACUCUUGACUGGACCUGAAACUUAAUCCCCUGGCUCCUGACUCUUUUACAGCUUUCAAAUAUGGGUCACUGAGCCCAUCUUAAAAACAGACUGUUUCUAUGUGAAGCAUAGGGUGGCGGCGACUCUGCAGGUCUUGCAUUGAUCAUACAUGGUGUUUUUAUAUAUCAUAAUGUAUUAAUAAAUAUGGUUUUAAAAAUGAA